CAACAGGGAUUGCCCUAGUAACGGCGAGUGAAGCGGCAACAGCUCAAAUUUGAAAUCUGGCCUCGGCCCGAGUUGUAAUUUGCAGAGGAUGCUUCUGGCGCGGUGCCUUCCGAGUUCCCUGGAACGGGACGCCACAGAGGGUGAGAGCCCCGUAUGGUCGGACACCAAGCCUGUGUGAAGCUCCUUCGACGAGUCGAGUAGUUUGGGAAUGCUGCUCUAAAUGGGAGGUAAAUCUCUUCUAAAGCUAAAUACCGGCCAGAGACCGAUAGCGCACAAGUAGAGUGAUCGAAAGAUGAAAAGCACCUUGAAAAGGGGGUUAAAUAGUACGUGAAAUUGUUGAAAGGGAAGCACUUGUGACCAGACUUGGGCCGGGCGGCUCAUCAGGGGUUCUCCCCUGUGCACUCCGCCCGGCACAGGCCAGCAUCGGUUCUCGUGGGGGGAUAAGACCGUCAGGAACGUAGCACCCUCCGGGGUGUGUUAUAGCCUGGCGGACGAUACCCCCGUGGGGACCGAGGUUCGCGCUCCGCAAGGAUGCUGGCGUAAUGGUCACCAGUGACCCGUCUUGAAACACGGACCAAGGAGUCGUCCAUUAGAGCGAGCGUUUGGGUGUAAAACCCGCACGCGUAAUGAAAGUGAACGCAGGUGAGAGCUUCGGCGCAUCAUCGACCGAUCCUGAUGUUCUCGGAAGGAUUUGAGUAAGAGUUUUAACGGACGGACCCGAAAGACAGUGAACUAUGCUUGUAUAGGGUGAAGCCAGAGGAAACUCUGGUGGAGGCUCGCAGCGGUUCUGACGUGCAAAUCGAUCGUCAAAUAUGAGCAUGGGGG
rnacentral:rRNA from 1 species